rnacentral:rRNA from 1 species
CGCGGCCUAUCAGCUUGUUGGUGGGGUAGUGGCUUACCAAGGCUUUGACGGGUAGCCGGCCUGAGAGGGUGACCGGCCACAUUGGGACUGAGAUACGGCCCAGACUCCUACGGGAGGCAGCAGUGGGGAAUAUUGCACAAUGGGCGGAAGCCUGAUGCAGCAACGCCGCGUGCGGGAUGACGGCCUUCGGGUUGUAAACCGCUUUCGCCUGUGACGAAGCGUGAGUGACGGUAAUGGGUAAAGAAGCACCGGCUAACUACGUGCCAGCAGCCGCGGUGAUACGUAGGGUGCGAGCGUUGUCCGGAUUUAUUGGGCGUAAAGGGCUCGUAGGUGGUUGAUCGCGUCGGAAGUGUAAUCUUGGGGCUUAACCCUGAGCGUGCUUUCGAUACGGGUUGACUUGAGGAAGGUAGGGAAGAAUGGAAUUCCUGGUGGAGCGGUGGAAUGCGCAGAUAUCAGGAGGAACACCAGUGGCGAAGGCGGUUCUCUGGGCCUUUCCUGACGCUGAGGAGCGAAAGCGUGGGGAGCGAACAGGCUUAGAUACCCUGGUAGUCCACGCUGUAAACGGUGGGUACUAGGUGUGGGGUCCAUUCCACGGGUUCCGUGCCGUAGCUAACGCUUUAAGUACCCCGCCUGGGGAGUACGG